CCUACGGGUGGCAGCAGUGGGGAAUAUUGGACAAUGGGCGAAAGCCUGAUCAAGCCAUGCCGCGUGUGUGAAGAAGGCCUUCGGGUUGUAAAGCACUUUCAGUGGGGAAGAAAGCCUUGGGGCUAAUACCCUCGAGGAAGGACAUCACCCACAGAAGAAGCACCGGCUAACUCCGUGCCAGCAGCCGCGGUAAUACGGAGGGUGCGAGCGUUAAUCGGAAUUACUGGGCGUAAAGCGCGCGUAGGCGGUCUGAUAAGCCGGUUGUGAAAGCCCCGGGCUCAACCUGGGAACGGCAUCCGGAACUGUCAGGCUAGAGUGCAGGAGAGGAAGGUAGAAUUCCCGGUGUAGCGGUGAAAUGCGUAGAGAUCGGGAGGAAUACCAGUGGCGAAGGCGGCCUUCUGGACUGACACUGACGCUGAGGUGCGAAAGCGUGGGUAGCAAACAGGAUUAGAUACCCCGGUAGUC
rnacentral:rRNA from 1 species